rnacentral:rRNA from 1 species
AUACCGUAAGAGGUACACGAAUAAGAGCUGGGCAAGACCGGUGCCAGCCGCCGCGGUAACACCGGCAGCUCGAGUGAUGGCCGAUAUUAUUGGGCCUAAAGCGUCCGUAGCUGGCCGGACAGGUCCGUUGGGAAAUCCACUCGCUCAACGAGUGGGCGUCCAGCGGAAACCGUCUGGCUUGGGACCGGAAGACCCGAGGGGUACGUCCGGGGUAGGAGUDAAAUCCUGUAAUCCCGGACGGACCACCGGUGGCGAAAGCGCCUCGGGAAGACGGAUCCGACAGUKAGGGACGAAAGCUAGGGUCUCGAACCGGAUUAGAUACCCGGGUAGUCCUAGCUGUWAACKAUGCCCGCUAGGUGUGGCGCAGGCUACGAGCCUACGCUGUGCCGUAGGGAAGCCGUGAAGCGGGCCGCYUGGGAAGUACGUCUGCWA